AGAGUUUGAUCCUGGCUCAGAACUAACGCUGGCGGCGCGUUUUAAACAUGCAAGUCGAGCGAGAAAGCCUUUUCGGAGGUUAGUAAAGCGGCGAACGGGUGAGUAACGCGUGAAUAAUCUGCCUUUGGGACGGGGAUAACCUUGGGAAACUGGGGCUAAUACCGGAUGAUGCCAUGAUGGCUUUGGUUGUUAUGGUAAAAGGGGUGGUUUUUAAUCAUUUGCCUAGAGAUGAGUUCGCGUCUGAUUAGCUUGUUGGUAAGGUAAUGGCUUACCAAGGCUGCGAUCAGUAGCCGGCCUGAGAGGGUGUUCGGUCACAUUGGAACUGAGAUACGGUCCAGACUCCUACGGGAGGCAGCAGUUAAGAAUCUUGCGCAAUGGGCGAAAGCCUGACGCAGCGACGCCGCGUGAGCGAUGAAGGCCCAUAGGGUUGUAAAGCUCAAUAGAUAGGGAUGAAUAAUCUGUAUUUUUAUCGAUACAGAGAUGACAGUACCUAUUGAAAGUCCCGGCCAAUUACGUGCCAGCAGCCGCGGUAAUACGUAUGGGGCGAGCGUUGUUCGGAAUUAUUGGGCGUAAAGGGAGUGUAGGCGGGGUAUUAAGUCAGAUGUGAAAGCCUGCGGCUUAACCGCAGAAAUGCAUUUGAAACUGAUGCCCUAGAGUCUGAGAGAGGAAGACGGAAUUCCUGGUGUAGCGGUGAAAUGCGUAGAUAUCAGGAAGAACACCGGUGGCGAAGGCGGUCUUCUGGCUUAAGACUGACGCUGAGGCUCGAAAGCGUGGGUAGCGAACGGGAUUAGAUACCCCGGUAGUCCAUGCCCUAAACGUUGUGUACUAGGUGUUAGAGGAGUCAACCCCUCUGGUGCCGACGCUAACGCAUUAAGUACACCGCCUGGGGAGUAUGCUCGCAAGGGUGAAACUCAAAGGAAUUGACGGGGGCCCGCACAAGCGGUGGAGCAUGUGGUUUAAUUCGAUGAUACGCGAAGAACCUUACCUGGGUUGAACUACGCUUUGAUAGAUGCAGAGAUGCAUUUUCCUUCGGGCAAAGCGAUAGGUGCUGCAUGGCUGUCGUCAGCUCGUGUUGUGAGAUGUUGGGUUAAGUCCCGCAACGAGCGCAACCCCUAUCCCUUGUUGCUACCAGAUAAUGCUGUGCACUCUAGGGAAACUGUCGGUGCAAGCCGAAGGAAGGCGGGGAUGACGUCAAGUCAGCACGGCCUUUAUGUCCAGGGCUACACACGUGCUACAAUGGCUGGUACAAAGGGUUCCGAAUCCGCGAGGUGGGGGAAAUCUCAAAAAACCGGUCUCAGUUCGGAUCGCAGUCUGCAACUCGACUGCGUGAAGUUGGAAUCGCUAGUAAUCGCAGAUCAGCAUGCUGUGGUGAAUACGUUCCCGGGCCUUGUACACACCGCCCGUCACACCACCCGAGUUGGGAGCACCCGAAGUGGCUGAGCUAACCUAGUACCU
rnacentral:rRNA from 1 species